GAGACUAGCCUGGGGUAAAGGAAUCAGAGAAGACAGUGAAAAAAUCAGAGAAAGACCAUGGGACAUGAGUUUGGAAAGAAAUGGAGGCAAGAAAGCCUGUCAUUUGCAAUGUCACAGAAGAGUCAAAUCAAACCCUGUGAAGAAAGCAAAAAUGAGAUGGAUUUACCCAAGGUUAUCUCCCUGAUACCGCCAGCCCAGUUAGAUCCAAAUUUCCAAUGAUGACUCUGAAGCAUAAGAUCAUGUAAUCUGAAAUACAAGGACAUAUAACACAAAUAAUGAAAUAUUUUAACAAUGAAGACACCAAGUGAAUUAAACAUUCCUGAUUUACAGGACUGUUAGAAUUAUUCAAGAGACCUCCUGGAUGCAAUCUGUUAUGGUAAGUACCAUGAUUAUGCUUUCCAAUGCUCUGGGCAGAAUUUAAAAUGCAAGCGAUCAUAUCAGCAUGGCAGAUCAAUUUUUCUACUAGCUGAAGCCCCAGCACUU